rnacentral:rRNA from 1 species
UAUUGCUCAAUGGGGGAAACCCUGAUGCAGCGACGCCGCGUGAAGGAAGAAGUAUUUCGGUAUGUAAACUUCUAUCAGCAGGGAAGAAAAAAGACGGUACCUGACUAAGAAGUCCCGGCUAACUACGUGCCAGCAGCCGCGGUAAUACGUAGGGGGCAAGCGUUAUCCGGAUUUACUGGGUGUACAGGGGGCGUAGACGGUGCAGCAAGUCUGAUGUGAAAGGUCGGGGCCCAACCCCGGGACUGCAUUGGAAACUGUUGAACUGGAGUACAGGAGAGGUAAGCGGAAUUCCUAGUGUAGCGGUGAAAUGCGUAGAUAUUAGGAGGAACACCAGUGGCGAAGGCGGCUUACUGGACUGUAACUGACGUUGAGGCUCGAAAGCGUGGGGAGCAAACAGG